rnacentral:rRNA from 1 species
UACGUAGGGGGCAAGCGUUGUCCGGAUUUAUUGGGCGUAAAGAGCGUGUAGGCGGUUUGGUAGGUCCGCUGUGAAAACUCGAGGCUCAACCUCGAGACGCCGGUGGAAACCAUCAGGCUAGAGUCCGGAAGAGGAGAGUGGAAUUCCUGGUGUAGCGGUGAAAUGCGCAGAUAUCGGUAGGAACACCAGUGGCGAAGGCGGUCUCCUGGAGCAGACUUGACGCUGAGGCGCGAAAGCUGGGGGAGCGAACGGG